AUUGAACGCUGGCGGCAGGCUUAACACAUGCAAGUCGAGCGGGGUGAUGGUGCUUGCACUAUCACUUAGCGGCGGACGGGUGAGUAAUGCUUAGGAAUCUGCCUAUUAGUGGGGGACAACAUCUCGAAAGGGAUGCUAAUACCGCAUACGUCCUACGAGAGAAAGCAGGGGAUCACUUGUGACCUUGCGCUAAUAGAUGAGCCUAAGUCGGAUUAGCUAGUUGGUGGGGUAAAGGCCUACCAAGGCGACGAUCUGUAGCGGGUCUGAGAGGACGAUCCGCCACACUGGGACUGAGACACGGCCCAGACUCCUACGGGAGGCAGCAGUGGGGAAUAUUGGACAAUGGGGGGAACCCUGAUCCAGCCAUGCCGCGUGUGUGAAGAAGGCCUUAUGGUUGUAAAGCACUUUAAGCGAGGAGGAGGCUCUUUUGGUUAAUACCCAAGAUGAGUGGACGUUACUCGCAGAAUAAGCACCGGCUAACUCUGUGCCAGCAGCCGCGGUAA
rnacentral:rRNA from 1 species